rnacentral:tRNA from 1 species
AUAAAUUUGGCAGAUUAAUGUGACAGACUUAGAAUCUGGCUAUGAAGAUUAAAUUUCUUCAAUUUAUA